GCAUCUCUGUGGCAGCUGCCCCGGUGCUUCCCGCCGCGCCGCGCCCGCCCACCCAACGGCGCUGUGUCCCGGUAGCUCAGCGCGGACUUCCUUUAUGUGGUACAGGGUUGGGCCUGGAGACGCGGAGGCCGGCGAGGUCCUGGCUGGGAGAGGCCGCCGCUGCCUUCAGGUUUCCGAGGAAUAAAAGCCUCAUCCUGCUGGGAAGGGCAGAAAAGAGGAAGCUGAAGACAUCAGUGGGAAGACAUAGUAUAGUGGCUGCUGGAAGAAGAUCUGGGAAAAAACAAGGAGACCCUCUACCCAGGAAUGGGAGGAAGAUGCAUGGAUCAGCAUCACACCUGCAGGAGGGCAGGGAUACUUGGAAGGACACAACCUGAGCCAGGACUGUGAUGUCUGCCUGCAGUAUGGCUCCCUCAGAAGGACAGAGAGUGCCCGUUCAGUGCGACCCUUCCCACCACAUUGACAAUUGUCCGGUCCAUGUGGCUUUAGAAUGACCUGGGGGAUUUGAAAGACAGAGUCUCUCUGGAUAGCACAAGACUAAAGCCCAAAGCCAAGCAGGAAACAAAAUUAAGGUGUUACUGGAGGAAUCUGGGUGUCUGGUGGCUACAGAGGAAAUGUACUUCAAUUCUGGCAGCCACUGCAAUAAGGACUUUCAAAUGUAGUCCUGAGUAGUUUCACACAAUUUUCUACAAUAAAGGCCUAGAAAAGA